UUUUACAGUUUAUAAUUAACACGCCUGAUCCUACCUAUGCUGGAACAGGCCCACGUGAUGCGAUGUGAGGUGUGGGAAACAUUCCUCUUCAUCCAAACAAUACAACUCCUACACCUCCCUAGGGAUGUUGGGAACUGCUGUCAAUCAAAUUACCAUUUCAGGCCAUGGCACUGUGAUCUGAGAAAGGCCUCUGUUGAAAUAAAAGAUAAUCUGUGGAAAGGAGAAACUUGAUACAAUGUAUCAAACUGCCAAGUUAUCAGCUCUUGGUGAGCAAGAUCCCAAGACAGAUAGGCCUUAGGACAGCUCCUAAGAUAUGAGGAGAGAUACAACAAAGUCCUGAGAAUUAAUGCUGCCCAUAGAGAAAGACUCUUGAAUUUGGGAACCCUGGAAAGCCAAAGAAAAUGAGGUACUGACUGCCUGCUAUCUGUUGAGGUCCUGGUUAACAGCAGAAGUGGGGUGAGCUGUGAAAAGGUGUUUUGGGGACUCCCUGACUGAAGACAAGCCUUCUCCUCACCUCUGCCCUGAUGGACACUAUGCAACACUCAGACUCUUUCAGCUACCUCAGAGCUGGCAGCAGAAAGGAAUCAGGAAGCCAAACCGAACCCACGAGGGGACUGUAGAGGUCAUGCUGACAUGCAUUCCUGCACCAACCUGGACUGCGAUCAGAACACACUUGCCUUCCACAAAACUCACAGGCACAUGUGAAGAAAAGAGACACAAUGGAGUGAUUUCGUAUGGAAUUUCAAAGUACAGUGAAAGGAGGACUAACAAGGAUCACGCUCCAGCGCAGUCCUAUCCAACUUUAGAAAGCCAUGCGUCUCUUCAACUCAAAAGCCACACUCCUCUAUGUAUUAGCUUGGAACUGGAAAGGCCUCUGGGGGCAGGUGUGAGCUACAGCAGCUGGAGCCAUGGCCCCACACAGGGGACAAAGAGGAGAUGGAGGGGACCAGCUGUAAGACAAACAAGCCAUCCCCAGGGGGCUUUCCCUCGGUUCCGACGGGGUGAUUUUAUUUGGCAGCUGGCUCUUUGCACACUUCUUGAUAAAGGAAAAUUUAGAAACAGUUUAUUUUUUCAAUAAGUCACUUAAUGAGCACUGGUGUGAAUUUUUCUGCCAGUGUACACAAGCUGCAGGUGUGCCCCGGCACAGGCCCAGCCAAGCCCCUCCUGGCCCUGAAGCCAUGUGUAUAUUGGCCAUGGAACCAAGUCGCCGUCCACUGGAAGGCCAAGAACACCUCGCACUGAG
rnacentral:lncRNA from 1 species